CAUAAAAUUCCUCCGCCUGACACCAGGUCCCAGAGCGACAGGGCUUCCACCGCCCUCUGACCCUGUUCCGCCCGUUCUUCCUUGGUUCAGAAGCAGCUGUCGAUCGCCGGCCAGUCGUUAGGCCACCACAGGGAGGAAAGUUCCUCAAGCCCGGUUUACCAGCGUUGAGCUGCCUGCCACGGGCCUGCUGCUUCCACGAGGCCCAGGGCGCAGGUUGAACUGGAACCCGGGCGCUGACGGGAAUCGGCUAAUCCCGGUGCGGGGUGGGGACCUCCGUGACCGCCUCGCGGGGCUCUGGCCACGCCCCUUCCUAAGCCCCGCCCAAGGCUGGCGGGGCGGUUUCCAUGGUGACAGUACACAAAACUCCGCGCUGCGGUGGCCCCCCACAGCCGUGCUCCCCAAACCCUCGCUCCUGCAAAUAAGGCGACCGAGAAUGACAGCGCAAAUGUAAUGAACUGAGACGCGGAGAAAUGGGGGCCCAAGUGGGGGCCAGGCCCUGGGAGGGGCAGCCUGGGGGGCCAGGACGCGUGAGCUGUGGUGCGAGGACCUGCAGCCCUCAGAAGAGGCAGCCCCACCUGCAGAACCAGGGACUGAGCUCUGAGGGAGCAGCGGUGCAGGUGGAGGCCGACGGGACGGGAGCCCGGGCGGCAGAGCUGGGAGAAGACACCAGGAACAAGAAGGGCUCGUUCAAGCGAGACCUUGUGUUUCCCUAGAAAGGAGCAGGCCGCUUGCAAAGGAGGGGAAUCUCCAGACUAGGAGUAUGAGCCCUGUGCACCAAUGGGUGAAGUCAUAUAAUUAUCUUUCUCUGAUUGACUUAUUUCACUUGGCCUAAUACGCUCUAGUUCCAUCUACGUCAUUGCAAAUGGUCACAGGCUGAGCUACAUUCCCUUGGGUCCCCUCUCCUGCUGAUGUCCCAGUAACGUCUUGUCUGCCUGAGUCCAUCUUCAGGGCUGGGCGCUGUGGGAUUCUGACCACCAGUCAGUGCUCAGG